UGAAACUGGUGAUCUUGAGGGCAGGAGAGGACAGUGGAAUUCCAGGUGUAGCGGUGAAAUGCGUAGAAAUCUGGAGGAACACCAGUGGCGAAGGCGGCUGACUGGACUGCCCCUGACGCUG
rnacentral:rRNA from 1 species